UAACUAUCGGGAGGGCCUGAGCGGUCAGA
rnacentral:piRNA from 1 species